UGCAGUCGAACGGUAACAGAACUAGCUUGCUAGUUGCUGACGAGUGGCGGACGGGUGAGUAAUACUUAGGGAUCUGCCUCUGUGUGGGGGAUAACUAUUGGAAACGAUAGCUAAUACCGCAUAACGUCUACGGACCAAAGAGGGCUUCGGCUCUCGCGCAGAGAGGAACCUAAGCGAGAUUAGCUUGUUGGUGAGGUAAAGGCUCACCAAGGCGACGAUCUCUAGCUGUUCUGAGAGGAAGAUCAGCCACACUGGAACUGAGACACGGUCCAGACUCCUACGGGAGGCAGCAGUGGGGAAUAUUGCACAAUGGGGGCAACCCUGAUGCAGCCAUGCCGCGUGUGUGAAGAAGGCCUUCGGGUUGUAAAGCACUUUCAGUUGUGAGGAAAGGUUAGUAGUUAAUACCUGCUAGCUGUGACGUUAACAACAGAAGAAGCACCGGCUAACUCCGUGCCAGCAGCCGCGGUAAUACGGAGGGUGCGAGCGUUAAUCGGAAUUACUGGGCGUAAAGCGCACGCAGGCGGUCUGUUAAGCUAGAUGUGAAAGCCCCGCGCUCAACGUGGGAGGGUCAUUUAGAACUGGCAGACUAGAGUCUUGGAGAGGGGAGUGGAAUUCCAGGUGUAGCGGUGAAAUGCGUAGAGAUCUGGAGGAACAUCAAUGGCGAA
rnacentral:rRNA from 1 species